rnacentral:tRNA from 1 species
GGUCUAUUAGUCUAGUUGGUUAGGACGUCGGAUUCUGACUUGUAAACUCAGUCUCUUCCGUAAGCCCAGGUUCGAAUCCUGGAUGGACCU